rnacentral:rRNA from 1 species
AACAGGAUUAGAUACCCUGGUAGUCCACGCCCUAAACGAUGUCUACUAGUUGUCGGGUUUUAAUUAACUUGGUAACGCAGCUAACGCGUGAAGUAGACCGCCUGGGGAGUACGGUCGCAAGAUUAAAACUCAAAGGAAUUGACGGGGACCCGCACAAGCGGUGGAUGAUGUGGAUUAAUUCGAUGCAACGCGAAAAACCUUACCUACCCUUGACAUGUACGGAAGUCACGAGAGAUCGAGAUGUGCUCGAAAGAGAACCGUAACACAGGUGCUGCAUGGCUGUCGUCAGCUCGUGUCGUGAGAUGUUGGGUUAAGUCCCGCAACGAGCGCAACCCUUGUCAUUAGUUGCUACAUUUAGUUGAGCACUCUAAUGAGACUGCCGGUGACAAACCGGAGGAAGGUGGGGAUGACGUCAAGUCCUCAUGGCCCUUAUGGGUAGGGCUUCACACGUCAUACAAUGGUACAUACAGAGGGCCGCCAACCCGCGAGGGGGAGCUAAUCCCAGAAAGUGUAUCGUAGUCCGGAUCGCAGUCUGCAACUCGACUGCGUGAAGUUGGAAUCGCUAGUAAUCGCGGAUCAGCAUGUCGCGGUGAAUACGUUCCCGGGUCUUGUACACACCGCCCGUCACACCAUGGGAGCGGGUUUUACCAGAAGUAGGUAGCUUAACCGCAAGGGGGGCGCUUACCACGGUAGGAUUCGUGACUGGGGUGAAGUCGUAACAAGGUAACC